rnacentral:tRNA from 1 species
CUGGGAGUAGAUCUCAGUGGUAGAGUGCUUGCCCAGCAUGCAUGAGGUCCUGGGUUCCAUCCCCCACACCCACC